rnacentral:rRNA from 1 species
UACAGAGGUCCCAAGCGUUGUUCGGAGUUACUGGGCGUAAAGGGUGCGUAGGCGGUUGUUUAAGUUUGGUGUGAAAUCUCCCGGCUCAACUGGGAGGGUGCGCCGAAUACUGAAUGACUAGAGUGCGGGAGAGGAGAGUGGAAUUCCUGGUGUAGCGGUGAAAUGCGUAGAUAUCGGGAGGAACACCUGUGGCGAAAGCGGCUCACUGGACCAUAACUGACGCUGAUGCACGAAAGCUGGGGGAGCAAACAGG